rnacentral:tRNA from 1 species
GUUGUGGCUCAGAGUUAGAGCGCUUGCUUGGCAUGCGUGAGGCACUGGGUUCGAACCUCAGUACCACA